CGGCUAAACUACGGACAAAACCCUAAAAAUAGAGGUGACCCGCAACCAAACAACACCCAAGUAACCCCCACUGUAUACCUCAUGGGCAAGAAAACCAAAAAACUAAAGCCCGACCGACCCCGGCAGGGACACAGCAUCGGAGACCUCUGGCGGCAGGCACAUGGCGCCCAAGAGAGUAAGAUGGCGUCCCUCCUUGGAGGAUGCUCUGACUUCUCCGACGGGGCUUCGGAGGAAGAAGAGGGAAGCCUCACGCCAGCAAUGGUGCGGCAACCGGCAGAACGAGCGGCACCCCUGCACCGGACACCCGACACCGGCCCGGUGACACUAACGGCCAUCAGGGAGAUCAUGGCGGACCUCCAACUGAAAAUCUCGGCGGACGUGGCCUUGAUUCGGGAGGAUCUGCGAGGCCUGACGGGCCGCCUCGGUGAGGUAGAACACAAAACACAAAACCAUACACAACAAAUUAAAGAGCUGGAAAAAAGGGUGGAAGAGCUCACACAACAGGGCACUGCCUAUGAAGGCAGAUUCGACACCCUAGAAGACAAGCGGAGACAGAAGAACAUAAAACUCAGAGGAGUCUCCGAGACAGUUCCACCUGAGGAACUCCCCCAUUUUGCUAGACGACUCCUAGCAGCUAUACUCACACCAAAACAGGCUAAGGCAGUGCCUCUGGAAGGCAUAUUCCGACUUCCAAAACCAGCCAAGGCACCACCCACAGCCUCAGGCGACCUAGUGAUGCAAUUCCAGGGUCUCAGGGACAAAGCAGCCGUGAUGACAGCCAUCAGAGGGCAAACACCAUACAACUUUGAAGGGAUGUCCAUAACCUUCUUUGCGGAUCUCUCCGGGGGAACCCUCGCCUGGCGACGGUCACUCCGACCUCUAACCUCCCUCCUACGCAAGAAAACUAUCAGCUACCGAUGGAGCCAGGCUCGGACGCUGCUGAUCAAAAGCGGUGAAACCACCAUUACCAUACGAGACCUGCCAGAUGCAACACACCACCUGCAGGCACUGGGCCUCCCCCCGGAUUCGCUGGGCCCGACAAACCCUCAUGGCUGGGAUCCUGCAGCCACCCGUGACUUUAUACCCAGGGACACAGCUUCAGCCCCCCGAGCUAGGGCCACGACCUGAACCCAGAAGAUCGGGUUGACUCCCGGACGACACCCAGAGAGGUUGCCCUAUCUCCACCACAAUACUCACCCAACGUUGCCAAUACAUCCCCGCACCAACUAGGCCACUCACAUACCGAUCAGACGACCUAUG